rnacentral:lncRNA from 1 species
GUGGGCACAAAAUGAACAUUUGUUGAAUAAAUGAUCAAUCCCUGUCCAUGGGUAACUAAUUUUCUACCUGAGUAUCAACAGGAUCAAAAGAAGAGUGGAUAAGACAAAAGCCUAAUCAGUCCCAUUUCUAUUGAGAUCCUGAUACAUGAAGGAUUCUGUGCUAAUCAUUGGAGAGGGAUGAGCAAGUGUUUCUCCAGCCACUUUGUAGUUUAUAACACACAAAAAAGAGAGGAAAGAAAAAAAAUAUAUAUAUACACAUAUACACCCACAUAUAUAUUUAUAAUAUAUACGUAAUGAUAAUUAUUUAAAUUAUUUAUGUAUUUCUUCAAUUUUAAGAUAUUUUGAUGUGUCAUAAUUUUAAAAUAUAUAUAUACAUGUCUAUAGUACCAUAUUGUACUAUAUACCAAUAAAAAAAUGGACCUUUAACAACAGCAGCUGUGUCAGAGCUUCUGGGUGAGGGGACCAAGGCAGAAAAUGUCAGCAUUCUUGUAACUAAGGACACUAUACCCUGAGGGAUCCCUCAAUGCUACUUGAAGAGAUUUAGAGAUGUGACUCAGACCUAUGGAUUGGCUAUUGUUAUGAGGUCAGCUAAAUUCAAGGGCUGGUGAAUCCUGGGACCCAGAGUUACAUAAAGGUACAUCUAUUGUCACGUUUAUAUUCCAGGACUUUAAGGAGGUUACUCUAGGCUCAUAGCAGAGAAUCUUAGCUUUUAAAAUGUUAAUAUUUGGAUCUUGGGAAGGCAGAGAUUGUCUGAAUGUCUAAUAGGUGGAAAUUUUCAUCUUGAAGGUUUACUGGUAGGUUAGACAUAUCCAUUUCAAACUGCAUUACUUUAUGGCUACUAGAAAUGAGCCAAAAUUGCUUUAGUUAUGUCCAGUUUUACUCUGAAAUCCUUUUAUAUGAACUUGUCGUUUUCUUGAAACAUGUAAUGCUUUCCCCCAAACCACAGGGGUUGAAGUCCAGAAAAAUCUGUGGCAUAAUUUACAGUCAAUAAAUUAAAGCCAUAGGAAAAAAACAAGGUUGGGGUAAUAGAGCUAAAUCUGUGCAAAGCCUAAAAAUACUCUUACAUUUGUAAAACAAAAAUAUGAAAACGGCAUACUAAAUAAAGAUGUUACCCAUGCAUUUUAUAUAUCAAAUUUAGCGAUAAUAGGUAUUGUACCCUUGCAGGCUAUAAGUUUUCAGAAUCUCCCUCUCUCCUCAUCUCUCUUCUCCAAUAUUAAUGGCAUGCUUAUAAAUUAAUUUAGGCUUGCUGCAGAUAAUGUAAACUCUUCAAAGCAUCUUUUUUCUUUGUCCGUGACUACAUCUAAAUAACCAUGGUCUUUUCAAUUUUAUAACUCAGAAUUGACUCCAAUACCCCACCACCACCACCUCCUGGCCUCUCCAGGUUCCCAGUCCACAGGUGCUUAGCACAUUGAGGUCUCAAUCAAGUAGCCGCCCUUCCUCCUGGAAUCUAUGGGAACUUUCUAAGGCCCAGUUUUUCUUUCACUUAUCUUUCAGUACCUUUCCUAGUUGUUAUAAAAAUUCCUAUUACUUCACUGCCAUUAGUUCUAGUUCCCUUUUGUAAUAUUCCAACUCCCAAAAUCCUUUUUUCUAAUUAUUCCCAGAGUUACUAGUUACAAUUCACAUACAUUGAAAUACAAAAUCUUUAAAUUGACAAUAAAGUGCUACAAAGUUACUUCAUCUACUCUCAGAUUUUUAUCUUGGGAAUCUCAUGUUUGAGGAGAUAUUAUUCUAUAUAUGCAGGCAUUAAAUACAUAUCAAAUUAAACAUUCCUGUCCAAAAUCUUUCUAUAUAUCCUCACUUUUGAACUUUUGUACUUUUGAACUUUUCCUUUUCCAUUUAUAAUAAGAUACAGAUGCAGCAGGAUCUGGAGAUAGAAAUUUAAAAUCCAAGGAGAAAAAAACAUGGUAGUGUAAAAGCAAAAAGUUCCCAUUUGACACAGGGAUCCUGAUUUCAAAUCUAUAAUAGAUCUAUUUGUCUGCUAUACAGACUACAUUCCCAAAAAAUUCAAGUCCUUAAUAACAUUUAUUCAACAUCAUCAUCCAAAAUAAGAAUCAACACUAUAAAAAUAAUUCUAAUACAAAUCGUUAAAAUGGAACAAACUAUUUGAUAAAUGUAUCUGGGCUUAGAAAACUUUAGGUGUCAUCUUCAAAAAUAUUGACAGGUUUUUCUUCAUCCUGGACAAGCAUUCCAUAAAAUUUAAGACGUUAUUUACAAAUGUAGGAAAUAAACUUCAUUUCUGUUGACUUAUGAUUUCUAAAACAAUCCAUGUAGAAAAAAUUUUUCUAUCAUUUGACAGUAGACAUGAACACAUGUAAAAAGGAGUAGGAAGCUCAAAGCAAGUGAUGUUUUAGAAAUGAAUUCCGAGUAUGUUCUAAUAGCAGAUAUGAAAAAAGAAAAUGAAAAUUAUGUUAACUUGGAGUCAAGAGUUCACAGUAAACCAACUAAACUUCUUAUUAAAUUCCCCACACAUCUAACACUCUAAUAUAAUUCACACAUCUCUCUACUCUCACCAAUUUUUUUAAAAUUCUAUGCUAAUUUUAAAGACUCUUUUUUCCAAACUGGUUCAGACAAUUACUCAGUAAUUUUUCUCUGAAAAUAAAUUUCUUUUGUCCACCUGUAAAAAUUUAUUUGUUUUUUCUUUGGAGUAAUAUUUCUCAAGAAAUUAAAGAACAUUAAUUUUGUUCCUUUACACUCUUUUUAGGAAUUAUGCUUUUUAAAAAAACUGAAAACAUCGUAAAAAAAUGAAGAUGAAUCAAAUGAAGGAGAAAUUGAUACUUUCACCAGUAGUGAUUUUUAUACAUGUAUUUAAGGUUGUUUAUUUGGCCGAGCUUUGUUUAUUUUCUUAGAUUUCUUUCUUCGUUUUUUAGGAAAUAUGGAAAAGCACAUGACCAAGCUCUAGAAAUGUCUCCUACCAACAUAUUCCUACAAGCUUUAAUAGACUUCCUGAGCCCAUUCUACAAGGAUUGUUACAUUUCUCCUUCAUACUGUUUCAACUUUAUGUUUUUACUCUCUUGUUAAAAUUAGACAUCUCCUUCUUUUUGAAACUGAAUUUUGUCUCACACUUUGAUUUUCCUGCUUCCAGGCCAACCCAGAUCCUUGGGGCCUAGAUUACCUAUACUGACUUCUCUCCCCUGAUCUUUCUCCCUACAGGUAGGUGUUUCCUAAAGCUCUCCUACUACACUCCAGUUCUCAGAGUUUAACUUUACUGCUCUAUCUUGAGUACCAUUUUUCUAAGUAGAUAAUUUCCAAAUAUGUGUCUUAAGCUCAUAAUUACUUUACUGAAUGUAAGGUCCUUUUCUGUCUACCUUCUAAAGCUCUCUACUUGGUUGUUAUUACUCUCUCAUCUAAAGCCCAACGAAAUUAUCACCUUCUUCAAAACUGGCAUCUCCUAAUUUCUCUUUCUGCUCAUGGUAGUUCAUUUCUCUUUUUUUUUCCCCAUCAAGGCCCAAACCUUAAGGCUCCUUUGCCUAUAUUGUCUCCGAUACCUCCCCAAUCCAAGCUGUCAUUAAUUAUUUUCCUUCUUUCAAAAGUUCUUUUCACUUCUACAACUGCCCUGUACAUUGGACUCAUCAUUAAUACCUAAACUAUAAACAGGUUCCAACUUGGCUUCUCCUAUUUUGGUUUCUUACAUACUACAUCAAUUAUGUUCUCCACUACAAAAUAAAUCUCACUAAAAUGUCACCAUGAUUUCAUUCUCUAGAUUUCCAAGUUUUCCUUCCUUUCCAAUAGGAGAAAGUAUCUAUCUCAUUUAUACUGUCUACUCCCUAAUCUGCUAAUCCAUCCUACUUAGUCCCCUUGGAAAGCCUUUCCCACUCCCCUUAUGUGAAUCUUGAACAUCUUCCAAGGGCCAGCUUAGAUAGUUCAUCCUCCAUGGACUUUUCUCAGAACAGCGUGACUUUUCCUUCUUAGAAUAUGCUGCAUUAACAGUGUGCCUGACUCCUCUAGCAGCUCAGUAGGGUAAAACAGAAAAACAUUCAAGUAGGCACCAAAGCACCCAGUCUAAGCACAACUCUAGUAAUUGAUCUACUUUAGAACCCCCAUUAUAAGUCCUUUACUUCUCCAAUUUUUGGUUUCUU